UCGAUGAGUAGGGCGGGACACGUGGUAUCCUGUCUGAAUAUGGGGGGACCAUCCUCCAAGGCUAAAUACUCCUGACUGACCGAUAGUGAACCAGUACCGUGAGGGAAAGGCGAAAAGAACCCCGGCGAGGGGAGUGAAAAAGAACCUGAAACCGUGUACGUACAAGCAGUGGGAGCACGCUUAGGCGUGUGACUGCGUACCUUUUGUAUAAUGGGUCAGCGACUUAUAUUCUGUAGCAAGGUUAACCGAAUAGGGGAGCCGAAGGGAAACCGAGUCUUAACUGGGCGUUAAGUUGCAGGGUAUAGACCCGAAACCCGGUGAUCUAGCCAUGGGCAGGUUGAAGGUUGGGUAACACUAACUGGAGGACCGAACCGACUAAUGUUGAAAAAUUAGCGGAUGACUUGUGGCUGGGGGUGAAAGGCCAAUCAAACCGGGAGAUAGCUGGUUCUCCCCGAAAGCUAUUUAGGUAGCGCCUCGUGAAUUCAUCUCCGGGGGUAGAGCACUGUUUCGGCAAGGGGGUCAUCCCGACUUACCAACCCGAUGCAAACUGCGAAUACCGGAGAAUGUUAUCACGGGAGACACACGGCGGGUGCUAACGUCCGUCGUGAAGAGGGAAACAACCCAGACCGCCAGCUAAGGUCCCAAAGUCAUGGUUAAGUGGGAAACGAUGUGGGAAGGCCCAGACAGCCAGGAUGUUGGCUUAGAAGCAGCCAUCAUUUAAAGAAAGCGUAAUAGCUCACUGGUCGAGUCGGCCUGCGCGGAAGAUGUAACGGGGCUAAACCAUGCACCGAAGCUGCGGCAGCGACGCUUAUGCGUUGUUGGGUAGGGGAGCGUUCUGUAAGCCUGUGAAGGUGUACUGUGAGGUAUGCUGGAGGUAUCAGAAGUGCGAAUGCUGACAUAAGUAACGAUAAAGCGGGUGAAAAGCCCGCUCGCCGGAAGACCAAGGGUUCCUGUCCAACGUUAAUCGGGGCAGGGUGAGUCGACCCCUAAGGCGAGGCCGAAAGGCGUAGUCGAUGGGAAACAGGUUAAUAUUCCUGUACUUGGUGUUACUGCGAAGGGGGGACGGAGAAGGCUAUGUUGGCCGGGCGACGGUUGUCCCGGUUUAAGCGUGUAGGCUGGUUUUCCAGGCAAAUCCGGAAAAUCAAGGCUGAGGCGUGAUGACGAGGCACUACGGUGCUGAAGCAACAAAUGCCCUGCUUCCAGGAAAAGCCUCUAAGCAUCAGGUAACAUCAAAUCGUACCCCAAACCGACACAGGUGGUCAGGUAGAGAAUACCAAGGCGCUUGAGAGAACUCGGGUGAAGGAACUAGGCAAAAUGGUGCCGUAACUUCGGGAGAAGGCACGCUGAUAUGUAGGUGAAGUCCCUCGCGGAUGGAGCUGAAAUCAGUCGAAGAUACCAGCUGGCUGCAACUGUUUAUUAAAAACACAGCACUGUGCAAACACGAAAGUGGACGUAUACGGUGUGACGCCUGCCCGGUGC
rnacentral:rRNA from 1 species